rnacentral:rRNA from 1 species
AUUGACCGCUGGAGGAAGGCCUAACACAUGCAAGUCGAACGAGUGGCGGACGGGUGAGUAAUGCUUGGGAAUCUGCCUGAUGGAGGGGGAUAACGCCGGGAAACGGUAGCUAAUACCGCAUACCAUAGGAUGUGCCCAGAUGGGAUUAGUUAGUUGGGGGGGUAAAGGCCGACCUGGACGACGAUCACUAGCUGGUCUGAGAGGAUGACCAGCCACACUGGAACUGAGACACGGCCCAGACUCCUACGGGAGGCAGCAGUGGGGAAUAUUGCACAAUGGGCGCAAGCCUGAUGCAGCCAUGCCGCGUGAAUGAAGAAGGCCUUCGGGUUGUAAAGUACUUGCGGUGAGGAGGCGUUAAUCACAGAAGAAGCACCGGCUAACUCCGUGCCAGCAGCCGCGGUAAUAC